rnacentral:rRNA from 1 species
UACGUAGGUGGCAAGCGCUGUCCGGAUUUACUGGGCGUAAAGAGCGCGCAGGCGGUCGUCCAAGUCGCGUGUGAAAGCCCCCGGCUCAACUGGGGAGGGUCACGCGAUACUGGUCGACUCGAAGGCAGGAGAGGGUAGUGGAAUUCCCGGUGUAGUGGUGAAAUGCGUAGAUAUCAGGAGGAACACCGGUGGCGAAGGCGGAUCUCUGGGCCUUGCCUGACGCUGAGGCGCGAAAGCUAGGGGAGCGAACAGG